CAUAUAUCAUACAGGCGGGCUUUUUUAACAUCCGGCGCGAAGGGGUUAAACCCUUACACCUUCCUUUUUCUUUCUCCCUAAAUCUGGGUGUAAUUGAGCCUAUUUUGCCACACUUGAUAGAAUGGUAGCCUGCAAACAACAUUGAAGCCUUUCAUCACCUGAAAUUCAUGUUUUUUGCUUUCUGACCAAAAUUAUGAUGACUGUCCUCCAAUUAGCUAAAAACAUUAAGUAAGAAUCUUUCUUGUGUCUAGCUUUGAUCUUUGUAAAAUUUCUUUUUUAGGGCAGAGUAAACUUAUUAUUAUUCAGUGCUUCAAAAACUCAAUUUCCCUUUUUGUUUGUUCAACACUUCCUUCAAACAAACUCCCCCUUUCAUUUACAUUCAACUGUUCUCUCUUAUGCACUUGACAUCUUCAGUUUGUCCUCUACAGAAAGUGAAAAUCUUUCCUCUUGUUUCUGACUUAUGGAUCUUUCUAAAAUUUGACUGAGGCUAAAAUUUGACUUGAGGCAGAGCAAACUUACUAUUGAUGAGUGCUCUAAAAACUCAAUUUCCCUUUUCCGUAGCUAAACACAAUCUUCAAAUAAACUUCCCUCUUCAGUGGCAUUUAACUCUUCUCUCUCUUAUGCACUUUACAGUCUGUCCUUUACAGAUAAUCUAAAUUGGAAACUUCAUAUAUCAUAUCUUGCUAAAACCGCAUUUUUUAAAUUAGUCACUCAAAGUUGUAUUCACAGGUUUUCAUGAGUCUCUAGCAGCGAACUCAGAAAAGAGAUCUUAUUUGUCUGUUUGUGGAGUACAUUUCACACACAUGGGUAGUCUCAUUCAUAUUGUUCUGUUGAAUAGGAUGGGAUCAAAAGCAUUUCAUCUUACCAAUUUUAAUUGAAAGUUUUUAUCCUCUCAUCAUUGGAGUAUUACAUUUCUUGCUAUUUUUGACUAUUUCAUGCUAACUGCUCUUCUGGGCCCGUACUUAUAAACACUAAGAUGACGUCCUAAAGGUAAGAAGUCGUCUUAAAUCACAAAAAUGGCGGAACUCGAGUCUUAAAUCCUUAAGACGGCAUCUUAAGCCCUAAAAACGCGUCUUACUGCUAAAACACCUCCAGAGGUGUUUUAGCAGUAAGAGGCGCUCCUAAGAUUUCAUCCUAAAAGUAAACAUGGCCGCUCGAGAGGAACCGCACCGCCACCACCUGCAACAGAGACGGACGUUUCGUGAGAUGAAGGACGUCCUGAAUGAGCUAGAUGACCGUGAGCUGGUGAAGAGGUAUUGGCAGGAUCCUGCUGGUAUAAUUUUCGUGACAAAUUUGGUGCGGGAAAGGCUGAUGAGACCAACUUCAAGGAACAAGGCCUCUCUCCCCGAGAUGCAAGUUAUCUUCACUGCGGUACCUCGCUAUAGGAAAGAUACAGCAGUGCAGCAAUGAUGACUUGGGGCCCUCACAACAGACCAUCAGCAGGAUCAUCAGUGAUACAGUGAUACAAUGCCAUUCUCUCUCAAUUCAUAAGAUUUGUAGUCACCCAAUUGGAAACUCAGAGGAGGAAGGGGGAGUGAUGCUUGAUACCACAUUAUUGAUGUAGUUGCAAAGUGGCCGGGAUCGGUUCAGGAUGCAAGAAUACUUGCUCAAAGUGGAUUCUGCACGAUAUUUGACAAUGGCAUCAUCCCAGCUGGGUGUCACUUGCUGGGAGAUAGUGGCUAUCCCAACAAGAAGUGGCUACCGACUCCAUACCUCAGACCACAGCCUGGAGCACAGUCUUCUUAUAACAGGGCCCACAAGAAAAUCUGCAGCGUUGUUGAGAGAGGCAUCGGGCAGCUGAAGCGACAUUUUCACGUGCUACACAGUGAGAUCCGAGUUGGUCCUCCAUCCAAGGUCUGCCAAAUUGUAGAGGUUUGUGCACUGCUGCACAACAUCUGCAAAGCAAGAAACAUCAUUCUUCCUGAGGAAGAAGACCAUCUUGCUGCAGCCGAGGAUGGAGGCAACGAGGAGCGACCCCCAACACAGAAAGUUCAAAGUCGCCAUGAAGGAAUCCUUUACAGGGAUGAAUUUGUUGUGCUUCACUUAAACAUUGAUGAGUGAUGAGACACCAGUGUCAUGACUGCUGAGAUUGGUGUUAUUCUCAUGUGGAUGAUCUCCUCCUCAUCCACAAACACCAGUGAUGUACCAGGGAAGUCUGGCCCCUGUUGGUGCUGCAAGUGGUGUGGCAGGUGCCUCCUCCUCCACACUCACUGCCUCGGUCACCACUUCUCUCUGCUGGGCUGCCUCUGCCACUUCCCCAGCAUCAUCUGCUGCCUGCACACUGCUGGCAUCAUUAGUUCUAACUUCAGAAACUAAACUGAUAAUGUUUUUGGUUUUAUUGCUAAGGAUAAAAGUAACAGAAACCAGUAAAUCUAGCUAAGGGUA